CUCUGUUUGGGUGCCCAAGAGACGGAGUGCACGCCCCUGUCCGGUCCGCGGCUGGCGGUUGUAAUCACCCCUGCCACCCCAAAACAGAUGUCCCCGCAGCGGGAGAGAACGUGAGGCCACCCUCCGAGCUCGGGGGGGCACAUCUGCCAAGAGGCCUGAGAGCUUCUGGGAGCUGUGGACCAGUGAGACCUUCAGAAGGAGACCGGGCAAGGAUGGCAGUGCAGGCAGUGACUGAAUCAGCAAAUCAGAGCAAGGGAGAAAUCCAGAAGGGGACCAGGCCCUGAAGUGUGAGGAGCGUGAGCGAGAGGCCCGGUAAUGACCUACACCAUCAAUCCCAGCAGAGGCAGGCAAAUCUCUGUGAGUGUCAGGCCAGCUUGGUCUACAUAGAGUUAGUUCCAGG
rnacentral:lncRNA from 1 species